UAUAUGUGUGUAUGUGUGUGUGUGUGUGUGUGUGUGUGUGUGUGUGUGUGUGUGUGUGAAUGAGUAUGGAGAGCAGCUACACCGUGGAUGCUGGAAGUACUUCCCUCGGAAAAGCCGACUUUGCGUUAGACUUCUGGGCAAGCAUUUUCAAACAGCCUCAGUGUAGUCACAACCGUAACCUUGGAAUUCGAGAGCACCAGGAGGCCUGAUACGGUGGUUUAGCUUAAUCCUAGCCCUCAGGAGGUUGAGACAGGAAAUUUGAAGCCAACAUUUGAAGCCAGACUGGACUACAUGGCAGGACUAUAAGAAAGGGUGGAGUUGGAGGCUCUGUUGGUUU